rnacentral:ncRNA from 1 species
UAACCUCUGACGGUGAUCGUGAAUGUUG